CGUAACUAUAACGGUCCUAAGGUAGCGAAAUUCCUUGUCGGGUAAGUUCCGACCCGCACGAAAGGCGUAACGAUUUGGGCACUGUCUCAACGAGAGACUCGGUGAAAUCAUAGUACCGGUGAAGAUGCCGGUUACCCGCGACAGGACGGAAAGACCCCGUGGAGCUUUACUGUAGCCUGAUAUUGAAAUUCGGUACAGUUUGUACAGGAUAGGUAGGAGCCUUAGAAGCGUGAGCGCUAGCUUACGUGGAGGCAUUGGUGGGAUACUACCCUAAUUGUAUUGGAUUUCUAACCCGCAGCACUUAUCGUGCUGGGAGACAGUGUCAGGCGGGCAGUUUGACUGGGGCGGUCGCCUCCUAAAGAGUAACGGAGGCGCUCAAAGGUUCCCUCAGAAUGGUUGGAAAUCAUUCAUAGAGUGUAAAGGCAUAAGGGAGCUUGACUGCGAGACCUACAAGUCGAGCAGGGUCGAAAGACGGACUUAGUGAUCCGGUGGUUCCGCAUGGAAGGGCCAUCGCUCAACGGAUAAAAGCUACCCCGGGGAUAACAGGCUUAUCUCCCCCAAGAGUUCACAUCGACGGGGAGGUUUGGCACCUCGAUGUCGGCUCAUCGCAUCCUGGGGCUGUAGUCGGUCCCAAGGGUUGGGCUGUUCGCCCAUUAAAGCGGUACGCGAGCUGGGUUCAGAACGUCGUGAGACAGUUCGGUCCCUAUCCGUCGUGGGCGUAGGAAAUUUGAGAGGAGCUGUCCUUAGUACGAGAGGACCGGGAUGGACAUACCUCUGGUGUACCAGUUGUCGUGCCAACGGCAUAGCUGGGUAGCUAUGUAUGGACGGGAUAAGUGCUGAAAGCAUCUAAGCAUGAAGCCCCCCUCGAGAUGAGAUUUCCCAACUUCGGUUAUAAG
rnacentral:rRNA from 1 species